rnacentral:lncRNA from 1 species
GGCAGCAGGAGCCAGGGCAGCACAGUCUGUGGAACACCCAAAGCCCCUCCAGGACCCCAGGCUAGGGUGACAGCUAGGAAACUGGCAAGCCAGGACAGGAGGACAAGGAAACCUGGGCCCCCUGGAGCUUGGGAAGCAGGCAGAAUGGAAGAUGGGAAAGAAGCCGUCUCCAGGCUCGUCCCAAUGGAGGUAAAUUGAUAUCCAGGAUUCAGAUGAGGCCCAGAAGCAUGAAUACCCUGCCCAGAGGUUCUGGAACCUUCAGUCUGGCUCUGGAGACUUUAGCCAUCAAGUAGCCACUGCCUCCAAGACGGAUGACAGAUGAGGGUUGAUAGUUCUCUGAUUAUGUGCCUCCUGGGGAAUAGGGAGGAACCAGCAUCAACUGGCAGCUGCCUUGGGCCACUCGCUGUCCUGAAUGCCUUCCUCCCAUUGGUAGGCCAGUCCAUCCAUGCAUCUCCCCGAAACUCCUAAGUCAGAGGUAAACGCUAGAAGAAACACUACUGCAUGCAAAGCACACAGUAAACGCUCAAUCCUUGCAA